UUCGAUGGUAACUCUACUCGGAUAACCGUAGUAAUUCUAGAGCUAAUACGUGCCACAAGGCGACUUUUGUCGUGGUAUAAAUUGGAGAUACAAACCAAUAUUUGGUGAUUCACGAUUUCUUUUCUGAUCGCACUAUGUGCGACGCAUCGUUCAAAUUUCUGACCUAUCAACUUUGGAUGGUAAGGUAUUGUCUUACCAUGGUUGUGACGGGUAACGGACCGUGGGUGCGGGACUCCGGAGAGGGAGCCUGAGAAACGGCUACCACAUCCAAGGAAGGCAGCAGGCGCGCAAAUUACCCAAUCCGGACACCGGGAGGUAGUGACAAGAAAUAGCAAUAGAGGGCCCGAUGGGUUUUCUAAUUGGAAUGAGAACAAGGUAAACAGCUUAUCGAGGAGCCAGCAGAGGGCAAGUCUGGUGCCAGCAGCCGCGGUAAUUCCAGCUCUGUAAGCGUAUACCAAAGUUGUUGCAGUUAAAACGCUCGUAGUCGGAACUUGGCGGGCGACGCAGGGCGUCUUUGCGGACGGUUCUGUAUCGGCCGCCUUUGUGGAGGGGGGCUUAGCGGUGCUUUAUUGCCUUGCUAAGUCGCUGCCACCGUUUACUGUGAAAAAAUUGGAGUGUUCAAAGCAGGCGUUUGCCUUGUACACAUUAGCAUGGAAUAAUAGAAUAGGACCUGGUUCUGUUUUGUUGGUUUGUGAGAAUUAGGUAAUGAUUAAGAGGGACGGUUGGGGGCAUUUGUAUUCUGCCGUCAGAGGUGAAAUUCUUAGAUUGGCGGAAGACAAACAGCUGCGAAAGCGUCUGCCAAGGACGUUUUCAUUGAUCAAGAACGAAAGUAAGGGGAUCGAAGACGAUCAGAUACCGUCGUAGUCUUUACUAUAAACGAUGAGGACUGGGGAUCGGGCGGCGCUGCUUUAUGGCCCGCCCGGCACCCUUCGGGAAACCAAAGUGUUUGCUUUCUGGGGGGAGUAUGGUCGCAAGGCUGAAACUUAAAGGAAUUGACGGAAGGGCAUCACCGGGUGUGGAGCCUGCGGCUUAAUUUGACUCAACACGGGGAAACUUACCAGGUCCGGACAUAGUGAGGAUUGACAGAUUGAGAGCUCUUUCUUGAUUCUAUGGUUGGUGGUGCAUGGCCGUUCUUAGUUGGUGGAGUGAUCUGUCUGGUUAAUUCCGUUAACGAGCGAGACCUGGGCGUGCUAGCUAGGCGCCGUUACCUCUUUCGGUAGCGAGGCUUGCCUUCCUAGACGGACUGCGGGCGUCUAGUCCGCGGAAGCUCCAGGCAAUAACAGGUCUGAGAUGCCCUUAGAUGUUCUGGGCCGCACGCGUGCUACACUGAGCGGGUCAACGGGUGAGGAUAGGCGAGAGCCUUUCCUAAUCUCUAAAUCCGCUCGUGCUGGGGAUCGAGGCUUGCA
rnacentral:rRNA from 1 species